CCUACGUGAGGCAGCAGUGGGGAAUAUUGCACAAUGGGGGAAACCCUGAUGCAGCGACGCCGCGUGAGUGAAGAAGUAAUUCGUUAUGUAAAGCUCUAUCAGCAGGGAAGAAAAUGACGGUACCUGAGUCAGAAGCCCCGGCUAACUACGUGCCAGCAGCCGCGGUAAUACGUAGGGGGCAAGCGUUAUCCGGAUUUACUGGGUGUAAAGGGAGCGUAGACGGCAGUGCAAGUCUGGAGUGAAAGGCGGGGGCUCAACCCCCGGACUGCUCUGGAAACUGUACGGCUGGAGUGCAGGAGAGGUAAGUAGAAUUCCUGGUGUAGCGGUGAAAUGCGUAGAGAUUAGGAGGAACACCAGUGGCGAAGGCGGCUUACUGGACUAUAACUGACGUUGAGGCGCGAAAGCGUGGGGAGCAAACAGGAUUAGAUACCCUGGUAGUC
rnacentral:rRNA from 1 species